rnacentral:rRNA from 1 species
UUGAUCCUGGCUCAGAAUCAACGCUGGCGGCGUGCCUCAGACAUGCAAGUCGAACGCUGCUGAUUGCCUUUCGGGGCGAUCAGCGGAGUGGCGCACGGGUGAGUAACACGUAGGUAAUCUACCUUCGGGUGGGGAAUAACAGCCGGAAAUGGCUGCUAAUACCGCAUAAUGCAGCGGCACCACAUGGUGACAGUUGUUAUAGCGGGGGAUCGUAAGACCUCGCGCCUGAAGAGGAGCCUGCGGCGGAUUUGCUUGUUGGUGAGGUAAUGGCUCACCAAGGCGACGAUCCGUAGCCGGCCUGAGAGGGCGGUCGGCCACACUGACACUGACAUACGGGUCAGACUCCUACUGGAGGCAGCAGUCGGGAAUUUUGGGCAAUGGGCGCAAGCCUGACCCAGCUACGCCGCGUGAAGGAUGAAGUUUUUCGGAAUGUAAACUUCACAAGAAUGUGAAGAAUAAGAGCUGGCUAACACCCAACUCGAUGACGGUACCAUUUGUAUGCUCCGGCUAACUCCGUGCCAGCAGCCGCGGUAAUAAGGU